ensembl:snRNA U6 U6 spliceosomal RNA
UCGCUUCUGAAACACAUACACUAAAAUUGGAACGAUACAGAGAUUAGCAUGGCCCCUGUGCAAGGAUGACAGGCAAAUUCGUGAAGCGUUCCAUAUUUUU